rnacentral:rRNA from 1 species
AACGAACGCUGGCGGCAUGCCUAAUACAUGCAAGUCGAACGAGAUCUUCGGAUCUAGUGGCGCACGGGUGCGUAACGCGUGGGAAUCUGCCCUUGGGUUCGGAAUAACUUCUGGAAACGGAAGCUAAUACCGGAUGAUGACGUAAGUCCAAAGAUUUAUCGCCCAAGGAUGAGCCCGCGUAGGAUUAGCUAGUUGGUGGGGUAAAGGCCCACCAAGGCGACGAUCCUUAGCUGGUCGGAGAGGAUGAUCAGCCACACUGGGACUGAGACACGGCCCAGACUCCUACGGGAGGCAGCAGUAGGGAAUAUUGGACAAUGGGCGAAAUCCUGAUCCAGCAAUGCCGCGUGAGUGAUGAAGGCCUUAGGGUUGUAAAGCUCUUUUACCCGGGAUGAUAAUGACAGUACCGGGAGAAUAAGCUCCGGCUAACUCCGUGACAGCCGCCGCGGUAAAAC